rnacentral:rRNA from 1 species
AUGCAUGCCAUGGCGCCCGCGCCCUCAAGCUCCAGCACCAGCCCCGCCUUCCCGCGUCGCGCCGCAGCCCGCGUUCCUCUGCUCCGACCGCGCCCUCGCGCCCGACACCUGCACCGGCCACUCCUCCGGCCCACGCCACACCGGCGACCACCAAGAACCCCGCCACCUCCUCGCCUCCUCUUAGUGCAUGUCGCCAGGAGCGCCACCGCCAUACUUCCUCCUGACGACUGCGGCAAGCAGCAGCGCCUUCCUUGGCUUCUGCGGCGUGGACGCCGGCGCGCCGGCGCCAAGCAGCGGCGUGUACCCAUCGGUGGAGGCUGCGAAUGGAUAAGAGCCAGUAGAAAAUAA